rnacentral:rRNA from 1 species
GACGAACGCUGGCGGCGUGCCUAAUACAUGCAAGUAGAACGCACAGUUUAUACCGUAGCUUGCUACACCAUAGACUGUGAGUUGCGAACGGGUGAGUAACGCGUAGGUAACCUGCCUGGUAGCGGGGGAUAACUAUUGGAAACGAUAGCUAAUACCGCAUAAUAUUAAUUAUUGCAUGAUAAUUAAUUGAAAGGUGCAAUUGCACCACUACCAGAUGGACCUGCGUUGUAUUAGCUAGUAGGUGAGGUAACGGCUCACCUAGGCGACGAUACAUAGCCGACCUGAGAGGGUGAUCGGCCACACUGGGACUGAGACACGGUCCAGACUCCUACGGGAGGCAGCAGUAGGGAAUCUUCGGCAAUGGAUGAAAGUCUGACCGAGCAACGCCGCGUGAGUGAAGAAGGUUUUCGGAUCGUAAAGCUCUGUUGUAAGAGAAGAACGGGUGUGAGAGUGGAAAGUUCACACUGUGACGGUAUCUUACCAGAAAGGGACGGCUAACUACGUG